GCUCUGGGUCCAGGCUGUCCGUGCUGGAGGGCCCUGGUGGCUGCAGUCCCUGAGCCCACAGAGACAGAGAGAGCCCCGGCCCGAGUGGCCUUUGGCACCUUGUCCUGAAUUUGGGGUGAGCCUGGGAGCGUGUGGAAGAUGCUGGAAUUGCCUCUCUGGCUGUGUGCUGAGCUCUGACUGCAGGGGACUGUCAGGCCUUGGUGGCUCUGUUCCCUGCUGUCCAUUCCCUGGCCUGAAUUCCUUGCAGCUCCCAGCUGGGGAAACCUGGGAUAACAUGGCAGGGACAGAGGUGACAUUUGUAGCUGCAAACUUCGGGUAAUUUCGAGGGGCCCCAGCGACUGUUUCUGAAGGAAAAGAUGCUGGAAUUGCCUCUCUGGCUGUGUGCGGAGCUCUGGCUGCAGGGGACUGUCAGGCCUUGGUGGCUCCUCCUUGCAGCUCCCAGCUGGGAAAACCUGGGAAAACUGAGGAGGGACAGAGAUGAAGGUUUUAUCUGCAGAUUUAGGGCAAUUUCUAGGGGAUACAGCAACUGUUUGUGUGGGAAAGUGUGUUAAACCACAUUGGCCCAAGUUGUGUUUGCACCAGCUGGGGCCAGAGGUGCCAGGCAAUCCAAAGCAAACCCUGCUCAGCCUCCAAAUCCCAGGGGAAGUUCUCCAAGCUGCUCAUUGAGGGACUAAAGAUACAUUGAAAUGGAACCGAGACACUACUAAGUUUCCUGGGAAUCCCAGUAUUGCUGUCCUAGAACUUUUAACAGCUUUUUAAGCUUUUUAUGACAAGAAUGGCUUUCUUCCUUUGGAUGAGUCCCUCGGUAGGAUUUGGGGUUUCUUUGGAUUCUGAAUCCCUCCCGGUGGCCCUGACACUGGUCAGGAGCUGGCAGGACAAACAGAGUCAGAGCUCCUGGCAGGCACAGGGGCUUUCCCCCAGAGUGGAUCCAACUGCUGCCCCCAGCCUGGCCAGGCGGGAUCUGCUUUGGCUCCCGGCUUCUGCCAGAGACAGAAGGUGUUCCCUUGAUUGGAAUGAGGAUCGCGUAGCUUCAUCUCCUGGACGUUCCCUGGGCAGCUGAUCCACUCUGCCCCAUGUCCUGCUCUCAGUUCCUGCCCAGCCAGAGCCAUCUGUGCCAAGGGCACGAGCACUCCCAGCCUGGAUAGGGAAUGGGGGACUGGCUUGUGCACAAUUCACCUAGAAAGUCAAACGAGGGGAUUGUUGGGCAGCGGCUUUGGCCGACACGGCAGCACAAAGAUUGUUCUCUGCAGGGGGCCCAGGUUUGGGUUCCGGUCUCAGCUUUGCAGGUUUGGAUGAAUUCUACCUACAGCCCGCAAUUCCAUGCCGAAUUCCUGCUGCAACAGCCUCCCAGUGCCUCCUGGAGCCCGGAUGUUCCCCCGCAGAGCUGCUGCUCUAACGCCAGGUUUGCCAGGAAGCAGCCACGGUUCCAGGUUUGCUCAGCGGGAUCGGGACAAGGACAGGUUGAUAUUCCACAGACUUUGCUGUUUCUAACCCUCCUCCCCCAGCCCCGCUGGUGUCCCUGGGGGGACUUGAGCGAGUUCGCUGGAAUUCGGCCGCUUUUCCGCCCCGGGCCGGGCUCCAGGGGAUGUGUUGGCCCAGGAGAAGGCGGGGGCCGGACGCGCUCCCGGCCCGGGGCGAGGCAGCCCCUGAGCAGGGGCGAGGACGUCUCUCCGGGCGGGAAGCCGCUGUCCCUUCGGAGCCUCGGGAGCGGCCCCGGGGAGUUCUUUUCCCCGAGGAAAGGGAUGCACAGCCCUGCCUUCAGGGCACCUCGGCUCUGACCCACCUGUUCAAGCUGUCCACGGGUUCUGCAGGUGCGGUUGGGUCCCCGAAAAACUGCGAAUUGCCUCCGAGCCCGACUUUCUCCGAGCAUCCCCUUUUCUUUUCAGGCAUCUCCGAGGGCUCUUGCUCGGGAUUUAGUGCCGCUGAGGGGCACAUUGCCCUGGCUUUAAGGCUGCUGCUGGCUGCUGGCCUCCGGCUGGAAGGGCAGGGAUUUGGGGCGGGCGGGACACACGUGGGGGGCGCGGGACAGCUCUGGGAGGUGGGCCCUGGGAAUGGCUGCCCGCGCUGCUCUGCAGCCCCGCCGUGCCGACACUGCCGAGUGCCAGCUGGAUUCUUUGGGUCCUUUGGGGCUGUCGCUGGGGCGUGUCCAGGGUGAGGCAUCUCAGGGGGCCCGUUCAGAGCAGCCCCCGGCUGAGGAGCCGCAGGCAGUCCUUUCCCCGUGCCCACCCCGGUGCCCGUGGCUGGUUCCCCCCCCUGGGAUGUGCGUUUGGCGGACGAGCCCUGCUCGGGAGACAAAUCCAUCUUGUGCCCGAUGGAAGCGCUGGCCCGGGGCUGCUCCAUCCCUGCUGCCAGGAGCUGUGCUGGGAGUCCUGCGGCUGCGGGCGGGAUUGCCUGAGCUCCGGACGCUCCGGAGCGCCGGGAGCCCCGGCAGGGCAGUGCAGGGCACAGCUCCUCCAUCCCCUGGCAAUAGGAAGCCCAAGCAGGGCUGGGUCACUGUCUGUCGCUCCGGCCUCCUCCCGGCCCGCGUUCCCUGCCCAGUUGGGACUGCCCAGGGAGCCCCGAGAACGUUCCUGGCGGGAAGCGGGAGCCGCCGAGGGCUCCGUCCAACUCCGGGCCCGAAAAUCGGCCCCGACCUGAGCCCCCCCCGGCAUUUUGGGUUCCGAAGACUCACCUGGAGGAGACACCCCCCCGCAGGCGGGACCAGGCGGCGACACUCGACCGACGCCUUUGCCUCGGAGCGAGGGAUCCCUCCCGACUCGGCUGGCUCCUUUAUCCUUGGAAAUGAGCUCGGUUGUCGCACGAGCACCUUUGCAGCCAUUGGGCGAAUCCCGGACAGGGCCGGAAAACCUCCCUGAGCAGGGCAGCGAUGAAUUGGUGCCCGUCCCCAGCCGGGCACAGCCCAGCCGGCCGCGCUCCCUCCGGCCCGUGGCUGGGAAGGGGGGAUUUAAUGCUGCAGAGAUUUAAUAAAAGCGGAUUUCCUGACUGUA